GUGCCAGCAGCCGCGGUAACACGGGGGGAGCAAGCGUUGUUCGGAAUCACUGGGCGUAAAGGGCGUGUAGGCGGUCAGGUAAGUGGGAUGUGAAAGCCCUCGGCUCACCCGAGGAUCUGCAUCUCAAACUGCCUGGCUUGAGUAUGGGAGAGGAUGAGGGAAUUCCUGGUGUAGCGGUGAAAUGCGUAGAUAUCAGGAGGAACACCGGUGGCGAAGGCGCUCAUCUGGCCCAAUACUGACGCUGAGGCGCGAAAGCUAGGGGAGCAAACGGGAUUAGAAACCCCCGUAGUCC
rnacentral:rRNA from 1 species